rnacentral:rRNA from 1 species
GACGAACGCUGGCGGCAGGCUUAACACAUGCAAGUCGAACGAGGUCUUCGGAUCUAGUGGCAGACGGGUGAGGAACACGUGGGAACAUCCCUUUCAGUUCGGAAUAACGUCGGGAAACUAACGCUAAUACCGGAUACGUCCUUCGGGAGAAAGGUUUAUCGCUGAAAGAUUGGCCCGCGUCUGAUUAGCUAGUUGGUGAGGUAACGGCUCACCAGGGCUACGAUCAGUAGCUGAUCUGAGAGGAUGAUCAGCCACAUUGGGACUGAGACACGGCCCACACUCCUACGAGAUGCAGCAGGGGGGAAUAUUGGACAAUGGGCGCAAGCCUGAUCCAGCCAUGCCGCGUGAGUGAUGACGGCCUUCGGGUUGUAAAGCUCUUUUGUCCGGGAAGAUAAUGACUGUACCGGAAGAAUAAGCCCCGGCAAACUUCGUGCCAGCCGCCGCGGUAA